rnacentral:rRNA from 1 species
GGGCCCGCACAAGCGGUGGAGCAUGUGGUUUAAUUCGAUGAUACGCGAGGAACCUUACCAGGGCUUAAAUGUAGUUUGACCGGUCUGGAAACAGACUUUCUCUUCGGAGCAGAUUACAAGGUGCUGCAUGGUUGUCGUCAGCUCGUGCCGUGAGGUGUUAGGUUAAGUCCUGCAACGAGCGCAACCCCUAUUCUUAGUUGCCAGCGGUUCGGCCGGGGACUCUAAGAAGACUGCCAGCGCAAGCUGAGAGGAAGGUGGGGAUGACGUCAAAUCAUCACGGCCCUUACGUCCUGGGCUACACACGUGCUACAAUGGUAGAGACAGAGGGCAGCCACCUGGUGACAGGGAGCGAAAUCCUUAAAACUCUAUCUCAGUUCGGAUCGAAGUCUGCAACUCGACUUCGUGAAGCUGGAAUCGCUAG